UUUUUGCGUGAGGGAUAGAAGCGGCAUCCUUUUGUGAAGCGAUAGCGGAACAAAAGAUAUAGCGUAUAGCCCGCUCGCCG
rnacentral:sRNA from 1 species